rnacentral:rRNA from 1 species
CCCUUAGAUGUUCUGGGCCGCACGCGCGCUACAAUGAUGAAUUCAACGAGUUUAUAACCUUGGUUGAAAAGCCUGGGUAAUCUUUUGAACUUUCGUCGUGAUGGGGCUAGACCCUUGCAAUUAUUGGUCUCCAACGAGGAAUUCCUAGUAAACGCAAGUCAUCAGCUUGCAUUGAUUACGUCCCUGCCCUUUGUACACACCGCCCGUCGCACCUACCGAUUGAAUGGUCCGGUGAAAUCUUCGGAUUGAGACUUUGAUUUGUUUACUCAAAACGCUGUUUCAAGAAGUUGAUUAAACCUUACCAUUUAGAGGAAGGUGAAGUCGUAACA